CCGACAAAUCUUGCAUAGUAUACCUUUAUGGAUGACAAUAGCUGGGUGUUCUGCUCUUUAUUGGAUUUGGAGACAUUUACCUGACAUGACUUCACCAAACCCUGCAAUACAAGAACAAUACUGCUCUUGUAUUUCCCUUAUUUCCAUGACUACAUUCAUCAACAGGAUCAGUCUGCAGAAUGAGACUCAGGUUAAGGAAGUUGUUCGGUUGGUUUUGUGCUACUACCUGCACUAGUAAAGAAAUGACUGAGGCUUGGAAGUAGAGCAACUCCAGCAACACUAUGAGACCAACACAUUUGAGCUAGUGGCUGACCCUGAUGAAGACCACACGAAAGAAGAUGUUUGAUGUAAACACACACACUUACGUUGUGGAGUGAGUACUUGUCUGCAAAGGAAGAGAAGCUAAAGAUGAGCAGAGCCCAGGGGGUUGCCUGUCAAACAGCCCUGAGUAUCACAGAGGAUUGUGCUUGUGCAUGCGUGCAUGCAUGCGUGUGUGUGUGUGUGUGUGUGUGUGUGUGAGAAACGAUUGAUGAAAAGACAGGAAGAACAGAGAGGUGAGGAGCAGAGGGAAAGAUGAGAUGGAAAUAUAUUCAGAUUAUUCAGCAGUAAAAGAGAGAGAGGGAACAUGAAGGAGAGAUGGAGGA